GAAUAUUGGACAAUGGGGGCAACCCUGAUCCAGCCAUGCCGCGUGUGUGAAGAAGGCCUUUUGGUUGUAAAGCACUUUAAGCAGUGAAGAAGACUCCAUGGUUAAUACCCCUGGACGAUGUCAUUAGCUGAAGAAUAAGCACCGGCUAACCCUGUUCCAGCAGCCGCGGGAAUACAGAGGGUGCAAGCGUUAAUCGCAAUUACUGGGCGUAAAGCGAGAGUAGGUGGCUUGAUAAGUCAGAUGCGAAAUCCCCGGGCUUAACCUGGGAACUGCAGCUGAUACUGUUAGGCUAGAAUAGGUGAGAGGAAGGUAGAAUUCCAGGUGUAGCGGUGAAAUGCGUAGAGAUCUGGAGGAAUACCGAUGGCGAAGGCAGCCUUCUGGCAUCAUAUUGACACUGAGGUUCGAAAGCGUGGGUAGCAAAC
rnacentral:rRNA from 1 species